rnacentral:rRNA from 1 species
GUGCCAGCAGCCGCGGUAAGACGAACCGAGCGAACGUUAUUCGGAAUCACUGGGCUUAAAGGGCGCGUAGGCGGGCGGCCAAGUCAGGGGUGAAAGCCCCCAGCUCAACUGGGGAAGUGCCUCUGAUACUGGUCGCCUCGAGGGAGAUAGGGGCGUGCGGAACUUCCGGUGGAGCGGUGAAAUGCGUAGAUAUCGGAAGGAACACCGGUGGCGAAAGCGGCGCGCUGGAUCUCUUCUGACGCUGAGGCGCGAAAGCCAGGGGAGCGAACGGGAUUAGAUACCCCCGUAGUCC